rnacentral:rRNA from 1 species
GUCUAUGGCCAUGCCACCCUGAACGUGCCCGAUCUCGUCUGACCUAAGAAGCUAAGCAGGGUCAGGCCUGGUUAGUACUUGGAUGGGAGACCAUCUAGGAAGACCAAGUGAUGUAGGCG